rnacentral:lncRNA from 1 species
CAAGAACAUCUUCAAUUAUCCCACGUGAUGUUUUUACAGAUCGAUCAGCCAAUUGAAGGGAUACCGAGGUUGGUUUUAACUCACUUAAACCAAGUUUCUCAUAAACUGAAUAAGGUAAAAGGUUGACACUUGCCCCUAGAUCUAAGAGUGCUCGAUCAAUGAAAUUAUUUCCUAAGACACAGGAGAUGGUGGGAGCACCAGGAUCUUUGAAUUUCGGAGGGGUGUUGUGUUGGAGAAUAGAACUCACUUGCUC